ACGGGGGGUGCAAGCGUUGUUCGGAAUUACUGGGCGUAAAGAGCGUGCAGGCGGGUGAAUAAGUCAGAUGUGAAAGCCCUGGGCUUAACCCCGGAAGGGCAUUUGAAACUACUUAACUUGAGUACUGGAGAGGAAGGGGGAAUUCCCAGUGUAGAGGUGAAAUUCGUAGAUAUCGGGAGGAACACCGGUGGCGAAGGCGACUUUCUGGACCGAAACUGACGCUGAGACGCGAAAGCGUGGGUAGCAAACAG
rnacentral:rRNA from 1 species